UUGUUUGAUGGCUGAGUAUGGAAGCGAUAGACUGUAGAUCUAUUAACGAGAUUAAUUUCUCUCAACAAA
rnacentral:tRNA from 1 species